AGUAGUUGAUCAGUGGCUCGAGGACGAACGCUGGCGGCGUGCUUCAUACAUGCAAGUCGAACGAGAAGCUAUCUUCGGAUAGUGGAAAGUGGCGGACGGGUGAGUAAUAUGUAGAGAAUCUGCCCUUUAGAGGGGGACAACAGAGGGAAACUUCUGCUAAUACCCCAUAUGCGCGUAGUUGAGAUACUAUUCGUGAAAACUCCGGUGCUAAAGGAUGAGUCUGCAUCUGAUUAGCUAGUUGGCGGUGUAAUGGACCACCAAGGCGACGAUCAGUAGCUGGUUUGAGAGGAUGAUCAGCCACAAUGGGACUGAGACACGGCCCAUACUCCUACGGGAGGCAGCAGUAGGGAAUUUUGCGCAAUGGGCGAAAGCCUGACGCAAGCAACGCCGCGUGAUUGAUGAAGCCCUUCGGGGUGUAAAGAUCUGUCAAUAGGGACGAAACUUGACGGUACCUAUAGAGGAAGCACCGGCUAACUCCGUGCCAGCCGCUGC
rnacentral:rRNA from 1 species